UAGGGAAUCUUCGGCAAUGGGGGGAACCCUGACCGAGCAACGCCGCGUGAGUGAAGAAGGUUUUCGGAUCGUAAAGCUCUGUUGUUAAGGAAGAACGAGUGUGAGAAUGGAAAGUUCAUGCUGUGACGGUACUUAACCAGAAAGGGACGGCUAACUACGUGCCAGCAGCCGCGGUAAUACGUAGGUCCCGAGCGUUGUCCGGAUUUAUUGGGCGUAAAGCGAGCGCAGGCGGUUAGAAAAGUCUGAAGUGAAAGGCAGUGGCUCAACCAUUGUAGGCUUUGGAAACUGUUUAAAUUGAGUGCAGAAGGGGGGAGUGGAAUUCCAUAUGUGGCGGUGAAAUGCGGAGGUAUAUGGAGGAACAACGGUGGCGAAAGCGGCUCUCUGGUCUGUAACUGACGCUGAGGCUCGAAAGCGUGGGGAGCGAACAGG
rnacentral:rRNA from 1 species